ensembl:lncRNA SRGAP2-AS1 SRGAP2 antisense RNA 1
AGUCCUCAGGGUCCCUAACGUACUGGACAGAGCUAGGAAAGCAAACCCAUUUGCUUCUUCCUGCAGGAAACCCCUUGAGGUUAAGACCCCACAAUCACAUGAGGAUGGAGUGGCUCACCCUCAGUCAACAGGCCAGACUCAAGGGGUUCCUGGCAAGUCAUUUCUCCCUCGGGCCUUCGGUUUCCUCACCUACAAGAUGAGAGGGCUGGACCAGAUGGAAAUUCAGGGGGUAAGGGGAUGUCCUCACGCAGCCCACCCCCACCCCCACGGGACCCUGGAGCCUCCAUCCCAGUUCCCACCACGCACCCGCUCCACAAAUCCUGCCCAAGGGUCUCUCAUCCAAUGACCUCAACUGCUGGAAGAAGCCACAAGAGGGAAUGCCUUUCAUCUGUGAUCUCACAUACCAGCCUGUCCUUUCCAUUGAGAGGAAAGCUGAGCUCCACUGAAGCAACAGAGGCCCAAGGAGAAACCUUAACUGUGUGCCUUUGGGGGAAAGCGUGGCCCCAGGAAGGGCUUCCGUGCUGGCCACUGCAGUGGGGUUGACAGAGCUGGUAAGCCACAAGGGGGCCCCACCCAAAGACAAGGGGGACAUUUAUUCCUGGGAACAACAAAACCUGAUGAGGCCGAGUACAUGACAAUGAAGACUGUAGAGCUUUUCCGUUCUCUAUAAAAAGGCAAGGGGUUUCUAGACAGGGAAGAAAAAGAAUUUACAGAGCAGUCUUUGUGUACUAACAUACAGCCUGCAUCUCUUUUCUUUAAAAUUUCUUGGAAGAGAAUGAGUCAUCUCAACAUUGCAGGAAACCAAAUAGAAGUUGGGGGAAAAAAUUACUUUGGACAAAGUUUUUCUCUUAAAUGUUUGCAUAGUAAUCUUUGCCUGGAAAAAAAAAAAGAUGCCUAAAUUUAGAAUAGAGAUGUGGUACAGUUAACAAUUCUGGUUCUAUCGGAUGGGAAGUGUGAUGGUGUGCUCAGGCUGGGAUCUCUUAUUUUGAAACUCACCACAACCAUUUGGCCAGAGUGCUUCACUGGCCUCCACUCUGACUGCUGCCGAGGGGCUGAUCAGAAGACAAUGAGAUUGCAACAGCUUCUACCAGUUGUAUGCUGACAAAAUGGGUAGGAAAGCUUCCUUUUUCCAACAGAUAACAGCAUUGGAAACAGAACUGAAAUGCACUGUGUCAUCUCAUCUCCCCAAGACAAGACUGUAAUGUUCCAAAGCCUCCUUGCUCACAGAAAGGAUGUAACAGCAGAUAUGUACGGAAACAUAAGGAUCCUAGGCAUCCGGGAUGCCUGGCCACUGGUCUGGUCACUCUUCCUUAGACCUCUUUAAAUCAGUACAUUUCCUGAGCUUGGAUGGGUUUGUCUAUUAGUGUUUCCCAAAGAACACCAAUUAUGAAAGAGGUUUCAGACCUGUUCUCAAUAGGGAGGUUACUUGUUACCGAUUCUCUAGUUAUUUAGAUCAGCACUCAUGUGCUUUCCAAGUUGGGGGUGGGACUGUUGUUAAUUGGUUAUCUACAUUUCAAAGCUGUAUUUUUUGACAGGCACAAAAGUACCCCCUAUUUGUAAGAAAGAAGAAUAAAAAGAGGAAGGCAUGUCUCUGCCAUGUGGCGAGAGCUCAUUUCAGCCCCAUCCCAAGGCUGAGCCUGUCAGCAGGUAGGAACAGUAGGGCCAUUUAGUUCUCUGCCAUUUAGCCUGUGUCAGCAGUUUUCCAAAAAAGAAUCCAGUUUUCAAGGGCACAUAUCUCCCCAACAACCACUACUAUCCCCUCCCCACCCUAAAGAUUGUUCAGAGACCAACUGUUAAAAAAAAAUCCAGUUUAAAACUGAAUUUAUGUUACAGAUUUCAGAGGAAAGGAACAUGACCCUGUAUUAAGCUCUGGCAGCAGAAGCACCACCAUACAUAAGGUGGUGGUUUCAGGGGCAUUCACUAACCACUUCAAAGAGGCCACAUUUCAGGAGCUGGCACUUUGCCUGAAAUGCUUUUGGUGGGGAGGAGAGGGCUAAAAGGAAUGACUGUUUGGUAGCAGGGCCAGUGCUAGGUGAUGGUGGGCACUGUGUCUGGUCCUCUCUCUCAGCUAACUUGGGCCACCAAAAUAGGUGGUACAGUGUGAGGCUGUAUGCCGAGGCUCUGGGGGUUCAGGGGGUGAUGAUCCAGCAGGUCAGAGCUCAGAAAUGACUUCUAGAUUUCCCCUCCACCAUACUACCUGCAUAUAUGCAAGCAGGGCUCUUUCUAUUCAGCAUUCAUUCAUCGGUGAGGAUACCAUGAGACGGCUCUGAGAAAGACUGAACUCCAGUUAGGACCUUAAACUAUGAGAAGCCCAAGGAUGUAUAAAACACAAAUAUACUUAAUUGCAAAACUUUUAUAGAGAGGUAGGCUAGGAGAUACCACAACAGGGACACCAGAGGUGCUUUUGCCUUCUGAAGAUAGGUAGACUAGGAUGUUCAAAAAAUACAUUUUUUAUUGCAAUACAGCAUAAUAGGUGUCUAUAAUAAAAGUACUUAUGUGUCCGG